rnacentral:rRNA from 1 species
AUUGAACGCUGGCGGCAUGCUUUACACAUGCAAGUCGAACGGCAGCACGGACUUCGGUCCGGUGGCGAGUGGCGAACGGGUGAGUAAUACAUCGGAACGUGCCCAGUUGUGGGGGAUAACUACUCGAAAGAGUAGCUAAUACCGCAUGAGAACUGAGGUUGAAAGCAGGGGAUCGAAAGACCUUGCGCAACUGGAGCGGCCGAUGGCAGAUUAGGUAGUUGGUGGGAUAAAAGCUUACCAAGCCGACGAUCUGUAGCUGGCCUGAGAGGACGACCAGCCACACUGGGACUGAGACACGGCCCAGACUCCUACGGGAGGCAGCAGUGGGGAAUUUUGGACAAUGGGCGAAAGCCUGAUCCAGCAAUGCCGCGUGCAGGAUGAAGGCCUUCGGGUUGUAAACUGCUUUUGUACGGAACGAAAAGCUUCGGGUUAAUACCCUGGAGUCAUGACGGUACCGUAAGAAUAAGCACCGGCUAACUACGUGCCAGCCGCCGCUGUAA